GAUGAACGCUAGCGGCAGGCUUAACACAUGCAAGUCGAGGGGUAGAGGAAGCUUGCUUCCUUGAGACCGGCGCACGGGUGCGUAACGCGUAUACAAUCUACCUUUUACAGAGGGAUAGCCCCAGAGAAAUUUGGAUUAAUACCUCAUAGUAUUUUCGGAUCGCAUGAUUUGAUUAUUAAAGUUCCAACGGUAAAAGAUGAGUAUGCGUCCCAUUAGCUAGUUGGUAAGGUAACGGCUUACCAAGGCUACGAUGGGUAGGGGUCCUGAGAGGGAGAUCCCCCCACACUGGUACUGAGACACGGACCAGACUCCUACGGGAGGCAGCAGUGAGGAAUAUGGACAAUGGGCGCAAGCCUGAUCCAGCCAUGCCGCGUGCAGGAUGACGGUCCUAUGGAUUGUAAACUGCUUUGUACAGGAAGAAACACUAUUCGUGAGUAGCUUGACGGUACUGUAAGAAUAAAGGAUACGGCUAAACUCCGUGCCACG
rnacentral:rRNA from 1 species